rnacentral:tRNA from 1 species
UCGGGAAGACAGGAUUCUAACCUGCGACCCCUUGGUCCCAAACCAUGUGCUCUACCAAGCUGAGCUACUUCCCG